rnacentral:sRNA from 1 species
UGGUCUCGGAGUGCACUCCCUAACAUUGUGACGUUACCUUCAAACCGUUGCUUCGGCGGGCGGCCCGGGUCCGCCCGGUGCCCCCUGGCCCCCUAGCGGGGCGCCCGCCGGAGGAAACCCAACUCUUGAUUAUUAUGGCCUCUCUGAGUCUUCUGUACUGAAUAAGUCAAAACUUUCAACAACGGAUCUCUUGGUUCUGGCAUCGAUGAAGAACGCAGCGAAAUGCGAUAAGUAAUGUGAAUUGCAGAAUUCAGUGAAUCAUCGAAUCUUUGAACGCACAUUGCGCCCGCCAGUAUUCUGGCGGGCAUGCCUGUUCGAGCGUCAUUUCAACCAUCAAGCCCCAGGCUUGUGUUGGGGACCUGCGGCUGCCGCAGGCCCUGAAAACCAGUGGCGGGCUCGCUGUCACACCGGGCGUAGUAGAUUUUAUCUCGCUCAGGGCGUGCUGCGGGUUCCGGCCGUUAAAAGCCUUUUUUACCCAAGGUUGACCUCGGAUCAGGUAGGAAUACCCGCUGAACUUAAGCAUAUCAAUAAGCGGAGGA